UGAAUAACAAUGUGAAUGAAGUAUGGAAGUAGUGAGGCUACAACAGCUAACAAUGUAACAAUCCAGAAUAUUGCUGCAGGUCCCAUGGCUUCUGUUAAGAGGUGGAAUCCUGUUUUCGAGUAGUCUGGUGGGAUCAUUCCAUACAAGAACAAGAAUAUGUACCAGAAAAUGAUGCUACCCCAUAUGAGUAAAUGACUUAUCCAAGUGAAAUGGUUUAUUAUUAGCGCG
rnacentral:misc_RNA from 1 species